rnacentral:rRNA from 1 species
AUUGAACGCUGGCGGCAGGCCUAACACAUGCAAGUCGAGCGGUUGAGGGGAGCUUGCUCCCUGAUUCAGCGGCGGACGGGUGAGUAAUGCCUAGGAAUCUGCCUAUUAGUGGGGGACAACGUUUCGAAAGGAACGCUAAUACCGCAUACGCCCUACGGGAGAAAGCAGGGGACCUUCGGGCCUUGCGCUAAUAGAUGAGCCUAGGUCGGAUUAGCUAGUUGGUGUGGUAAUGGCUCACCAAGGCGACGAUCCGUAACUGGUCUGAGAGGAUGAUCAGUCACACUGGAACUGAGACACGGUCCAGACUCCUACGGGAGGCAGCAGUGGGGAAUAUUGGACAAUGGGCGAAAGCCUGAUCCAGCCAUGCCGCGUGUGUGAAGAAGGUCUUCGGAUUGUAAAGCACUUUAAGUUGGGAGGAAGGGUUGUAGAUUAAUACUCUGCAAUUUUGACGUUACCGACAGAAUAAGCACCGGCUAACUCUGUGCCAGCAGCCGCCGUAACAC